rnacentral:rRNA from 1 species
GUGAGGAAUAUUGGUCAAUGGACGGAAGUCUGAACCAGCCAUGCCGAGUGAAGGAUGAAGGCGUUCUGCGUUGUAAACUUCUUUUAUCAGAGAAGAAACCACUGAUUUCUAUUAGUGUUGACGGUAUCUGAUGAAUAAGCACCGGCUAACUCCGUGCCAGCAGCCGCGGUAAUACGGAGGGUGCAAGCGUUAUCCGGAUUUACUGGGUUUAAAGGGUGUGUAGGCGGGCUAUUAAGUCAGGGGUGAAAUCCCGGGGCUCAACCGCGGAACUGCCUUUGAUACUAUUAGUCUUGAAUGAUGUUGAGGUUGGCGGAAUACAACAUGUAGCGGUGAAAUGCAUAGAUAUGUUAUAGAACACCGAUUGCGAAGGCAGCUGGCUAAACAUAUAUUGACGCUGAGGCACGAAAGCGUGGGUAGCGAACAGGAUUAGAAACCCGAGUAGUCC